AAUCAACGCUGGCGGCGUGCCUCAGACAUGCAAGUCGAACGCGAAAGGUUCCUUCGGGAGCCGAGUAGAGUGGCGCUCGGGUGAGUAACACAUAGGUAAUUUGCCUUUGGGUGGGGAAUAACAAUCGGAAACGGUUGCUAAUACCGCAUAAUGCAGCGGCUCGACAUCGAGACAGUUGUUAAAGCGGGGGAUCCUUCGGGACCUCGCGCCUAAAGAGAAGCCUGCGGCGGAUUAGCUAGUUGGUGAGGUAAUGGCUCACCAAGGCGACGAUCCGUAACCGGCCUGAGAGGGCGGACGGUCACACUGGACACUUAAAUACGGGUCAGGACUCCUACGGGAGGCAGCAGUCGGGAAUUUUGGGCAAUGGGCGAAAGCCUGACCCAGCAACGCCGCGUGAAGGAUGAAAUCCCUCGGGAUGUAAACUUCGCAAGAACGGGAAGAAUAAGCGAGAGUAAAUACCUCUCGUGAUGACGGUACCGUUUGUAAGCUCCGGCUAACUCCGUGCCAGCAGCCGCAGUAA
rnacentral:rRNA from 1 species